GUGAUGUCAUCAAUUCAACAUAUGAUAUAGCAAUGGAUGGCAUCACAAAUUCAAUGUGUGAUGUCACAAAAGUUCUGCUAUAUGAUGUCAUUAUUGGAUUCAAAGAUUUUGAUUUUUUCCAGCUUUGCUUAAAGAUAGAAUACCAUUUGUAGCUUUUUUUCCCCCAUUGCCCUUUAGCCAUUGAUUUUUCCCAGUAGCUGGGGUGGGUCAGUGGUAUAUAUACAACAGCAAUUUCUUUCCUGUAGUGGUGCUUAUAUCAGAAUGGUUGGUUUCAGUUUGGAUGGUGUUACUAACAACUGUCCUAUCAACUAUAAAAGGGAAGGAGAUAAAAAAGGAGGAAAAAGAAGAAAGGGCAGGAAGGGAAAGGGGAUUUAAGUUCAUUAGAUAUUGCAAUUAUUGCAAUCUGAUUGAAUGCACUGUAAAGAUAAGUACUCACAGUCAUCACAUAGGUUGGGCUAGAUCAAUUCCUUUAUUGUCCUUCAUUUUGCAUUUCAUUCUGUCCCAUUACAGCUCCUCUGAAUGAAAAGGAGCAAUCACAACUUAACAUCAGGGUUAUGCCACACAAUAAAAAAAAGAUUGUUUUUUGGUGGUUUUUUAAUAUAUGUAAGUAAAUGUGUAUGCAGAAAUAAAAAAUUGAAUUUUUCUAGCAGAAACAAAUUUAUUGUCUAUAAGCAAUUAUAGAAAUAUUCUGCAUUAAUGAAUGGCCAUAUAUUUGGCCAUUUAAAGUUUAAUUGGAAUUAACAAAGGAAAAUACUUAUGGAACUAAAGGUACAGAUUUCUUUAUAGCAGUGAUCUGAUCUGCUAGUGUCACAAGUAAUGUUGUAUACUAGAUAUUGUGUGUGUGUAUGUACAUACGUACAUACAUCAAAUCCCAUUUUGCAUCAUUUUAGUUUACAUUUUUGUAAAGUUGCAUUGUAAAAAAAUUAAAACAUAUAUAAUUAUAGAAUUAUAUAUAUUAAAAAUUAUUUUGUCUUGUCAUAAAAUUCCAUAUUUGUGAUAUUAUAUAAAACAUUUUCCCUUUGGUAUCAUACCAGCUCAUAUUUCAUAGUUCUGUUACCACUCCCCGUAUAUUUGUGCAUAUGUAAUUGUGGUGCUACAAUACAUAAAUACAAAUUGAAUCCAUUUGCCUUGCUAUUCAUUAUCUUUAAGAAACUGAUAAAAUAGUAUUUUGCUGGCAUUUUAUUAUGAUUAUUAGUGCAAUCAAAUAUAACAAAAUGACACAAUGAAAAUUUUUCAGAAUAACAGUUACAUUAAAUUAAAUAUUGCAUACUCGUUUCUAUUUGCAUUUUCUCAUUUAAUUUAUCCUGUUAGAUUAGUUUCAGAUAAGCUGCCAUAUCAUACAUGCUGGAAUCACUUUUAGAUCUCAUUGCUAGCUGGGUAACAGCUAUGAUGGUAUUUACUGGAUGGUUGAAGAAUAAAGUUCAAUGGACUGGGAUUAAGUCCUUCAUAAAAAACGGGAAGCUUGAGACCAAGAUUUGAACAUGGAUCUUACAAGGUGAUAAGCAACUCCUUUACCAUGCAUUGUCUGAUCAACAGUUACCAAAUCUAUAAUACUAAGUUACUUAGCUUAACUUUACAUCAUCAGCAUGAUGGCUAAUUAAAAUAUACAUAAUCAGUAAAACAUUUUAAUCUUUAUAGAAUAGUUGUAGGAAUAUUAUUUUUCCUUUAGUGUCAACACCGUGAAUCAUUGUUAGCUCUCAAUAUGAAGUAAGACUAUACUGUACGAUAUUGCAGGUGUCACUUGUGUAUUUUCUAUUCAUAGAAAAUAACUCUGCUGGGUCCAUAUUUUAAUAGUUUCUUAUGAAAAUACUUAUUUUGGUUUGCAUUGUUUAGGUGUGCAUUGCAUUUUUCAAGAAUGCCUAUCUAUGCAAAGUGAGGUUUUUUUUUUUUUUUUUUUUUUUUGUCUGUGUGUGUACACAUAAACAGGUAUUUUCC
rnacentral:lncRNA from 1 species